rnacentral:rRNA from 1 species
AACAAACGCUGGCGGCGUGCCUAAUACAUGCAAGUCGAACGGGGAAAGCUUUCGGGUGAGUACUAGUGGCGCACGGGUGAGUAACGCGUGGAAAAUCUGCCUUAGAGUGGGGGAUAACCAGUCGAAAGAUUGGCUAAUACCGCAUAAGACCACAAGAACUGCGGUUCAAGGGGUCAAAGGUUUUUCGCUCUAAGAUGAGUCCGCGUAAGAUUAGCUAGUUGGUGAGGUAAUGGCUCACCAAGGCGACGAUCUUUAACUGGUCUGAGAGGAUGAUCAGUCACACUGGAACUGAGACACGGUCCAGACUCCUACGGGAGGCAGCAGUAGGGAAUAUUGCACAAUGGAGGAAACUCUGAUGCAGCGACGCCGCGUGAGUGAUGAAGGCCUUCGGGUCGUAAAGCUCUGUCGCAGGGGAAUAACACAAUGAAGGUACCCUGUAAGAAAGGAUCGGCUAACUUCGUGCCAGCAGCCGCAGUAAUAC